GACGAACGCUGGCGGCGUGCUUAACACAUGAAAGUCGAGCGGAGCGGCGAACGGGUGAGUAACGCGUGAGUAACUGCCCCCCUCUCUGGGAUAACAGUUGGAAACGGCUGCUAAUACCGGAUAGUGGGGGAUGACUCGCGUCCUAUCAGCUUGUUGGUUGGGUAGUGGCCUACCAAGGCGACGACGGGUAGCCUGCCUGAGAGGGCGACCGGCCACACUGGGCUGCGCUACGCUCCACACUCGUACGGUCGGCAGCGGUGGGGAAUCUUGCAGAAUGGGGGUAACCCUGCUGCAGCAUCGCCGCGUGCGGGAGUACGGCCUUGGGGUUGUAAACCGCUUUCAGCCAUGACGCGGUAGCGGUAUAAGAAGCACCGUCUAACUACGUGCCUGCCGCCGCGGUAAUUC
rnacentral:rRNA from 1 species